GGGGCGCUCGGGCGCGCGUUUUGGCGCAGACUGCCGGCCAGCCGGCGCUCUCGCACGGCCGACGCGGCCGACACGACGGUGAAAAUGAAUGACUUAUUAGAGAUGCAAAUCGCCGGCGCCGAGUCGGAUUUGUUAUCAACGGUCGGUGACAAAAUUGAAAAGGAUGGUACGUCAACGGAUAUAGCAUACGGCAUAGACGAUGCGCUCAUACAUAAACAAGAAGCGGAUUGAAACCGACCAAUAUUGAAUAUAAUGUUCUAGAUUACAAACGAUGCAUAAUGUGCAUCGCUGCAACCACUCAACUCGCGUCUGCUUAUCCAGAACUCGUUGCAGUCAAGAUAGCGAUAGCUGAAUAAGAUGAAUCGUUCAAAAGCUUAAACGUUCUUAA